AAUACCGGCCGAACCGAAAAAACUGGCCGAACCGUGAAUUUUGAUUUUUCGGUUUCGGUUUAAUUGGUUUUUCGGUGCGGUUUACGGUUUUGGUGUUUCGUUUUUCGGUUUAACUGAAAAAUCAAAAUUUUGGGUAUUAGUUAUUACCCAUUUUAGGCUGAAGCUCAAUACCUAUUUGAACUUUGAAGCCUAAUUUAGUUUGCCCAAACCCAAACUUACUGAUAGUCUGUCUAAUACCCAAACCCACUAAAUCACUAAUAGUCUAAUACACUUAGUCACUUCCCAAUUCACAUUUCCCAAACCUAAAUAAAGAAUUAGAUUUAGGGUUCUUCGGUUCUUCCUUCUUUCUAUGCGACUGCUGCGACUCGUCGUCACCGACUGCUGCGACUGCGAGCUUCUUAACUUCACUCUGCUGUGACCUUAUUCGUAUUUGAAUCCUGAUAUUCAAGCUAAACAUAAAAGCAAAGGUGCUUUGAUAGCUGCAAUUGUAGCAGGUGUUUUUGCUGCAUUUGUUUCAACAAUUAUCGCUGUGUUAAUCAAAAGACAACAUGCCAAAUACCAAAGCAUCUUAUCAUCUAGGAAACGUUUAUCCUCAAGGCUCUCUAUAAAAAUGGAUGGCAUUAAAAGCUUCACUUUAAAAGAAAUGAAUGUUGCGUUAUGUGAGGGUACUCCUAUUAAUGUUGAAGAAGAUUUGGAGUUUCUUGAGCAAAUUCAACUUGAUAUGGCAACGAGCGGAAGAGAAACUUGCAUUGUUGAUGCAUAGUUUGAACAAGUGGUUCAACUAUGCCUCGUGGUCCUAAAGCUAGAUCGCCUAUUUGGAAAUAUUUUGAGCUAGUUAAAGUAAAUGAAGAAGCCCGCAAAGCAAAGUGUCUUCAUUGUGGUCGAGUUUAUAAUUGUCAUCCAAAGUAUUAUGGCACUUAUGGCUUAGUGAAGCAUAUUAAGAAGUGUCUCAUGCCUCAUCCAGUGAUUUGUAUUUAAGACUUUAAGUAUCAUUUGCUAGACUUACUUUGUGGCUUGUGGGUUGUGACUAGUUUGCCAUUGUUUUGUUAUUUGGUGAUGGUAUUUCUAGACUUAUUUUGGACUUUGGUAGCUGCUAGAUUUUCCACUGUGUUAAAUUGUUUUGGACUAGUUUGCCACUGUUGAACUGUACGGUGUUUUGCUACUUAGGUGUUCU